rnacentral:rRNA from 1 species
GACGAACGCUGGCGGCGUGCCUAAUACAUGCAAGUUGAGCGAUGAAGAUUGGUGCUUGCACCAAUUUGAAGAGCAGCGAACGGGUGAGUAACGCGUGGGGAAUCUGCCUUUGAGCGGGGGACAACAUUUGGAAACGAAUGCUAAUACCGCAUAACAACUUUAAACAUAAGUUUUAAGUUUGAAAGAUGCAAUUGCAUCACUCAAAGAUGAUCCCGCGUUGUAUUAGCUAGUUGGUGAGGUAAAGGCUCACCAAGGCGAUGAUACAUAGCCGACCUGAGAGGGUGAUCGGCCACAUUGGGACUGAGACACGGCCCAAACUCCUACGGGAGGCAGCAGUAGGGAAUCUUCGGCAAUGGGCGAAAGUCUGACCGAGCAACGCCGCGUGAGGGAAGAAGGUUUUCGGAUCGUAAAACUCUGUUGGUAGAGAAGAACGUUGGUGAGAGUGGAAAGCUCAUCAAGUGACGGUAACUACCCAGAAAGGGACGGCUAACUACGUG